CCAAUGGUAACAUCAUAAACUGCAAAGAGUUGACGAUGUAAAUUAAGGAAAAAGAUGCCCACAUCUAAACGUGGUUCAAAGCUAAGUCAAAUACAGUAAUUUCAAACCCAAUCUGCAACAAGCUAUUCCAAAAAAAAAAGAAGAAACAGAGCAAUCAUUAAUAAAGUAGGCUAAUCUGCACUCCAAAAUUUUAUUAUUGGAGAUCCUUGUAGAUUGAUUAACAAUAGAAUAUAACCAAGGACCAUUAGAUUCCAAAUGUGAUUCUAUUUUUUUUUUCCCCUUUUGUAAAAUUUUUUUGUUACCGUUGCACCAAGUGUACUAUGCAUGCCCUCAUCAAAACAGUAGUUUCAAACUUUAAGAGCAUAAAAAGCAGUGAACAACCAUAAUAAUAGCAUUAAGUAGCGCAUCAUGCAACAAAAGGAGUAACCUGCAUCCAGAGAGCCCCUUAGAU
rnacentral:misc_RNA from 1 species